rnacentral:rRNA from 1 species
UACAGAGGUCCCAAGCGUUGUUCGGAUUCACUGGGCGUAAAGGGUGCGUAGGCGGGAGAGUAAGUCCGCGGUGAAAUCUCACAGCUCAACUGUGAAACUGCCGUUGAUACUGCUUUUCUUGAGUUCGGGAGAGGUUGAUGGAAUUCCAGGUGUAGCGGUGAAAUGCGUAGAUAUCUGGAGGAACAUCGGUGGCGAAGGCGACUACCUGGCCUGUUCUUGACGCUGAGGCGCGAAAGCUAGGGUAGCAAACGGG